UGCUAAUGAUGUGGACAUUCCUAAAGAAGAUCUUUAAACCUCUCCCUUUCAUGAUAUAAAUUCUCAUCUGGCUUCUGUUUGAAGCACACAAUCUCACUAUGAAGUC
rfam:Capsicum annuum cultivar Zunla-1 chromosome 1, whole genome shotgun sequence